CCCUUAGAUGUUCUGGGCCGCACGCGCGCUACACUGAUGCAUUCAACGAGUCUAAAACCUGCUCUGAUAGGGGUGGGUAAUCUUUUGAAUGUGCAUCGUGAUUGGGAUAGAUGAUUGCAAUUUUUCAUCUUCAACGAGGAAUGCCUAGUAAACGCAAGUCAUCAGCUUGCAUUGAUUACGUCCCUGCCCUUUGUACACACCGCCCGUCGCUCCUACCGAUUGAAUGAUCCGAUGAAUAUCAUGGAUUGAGGAUGCAAGUAGGUUAGCCUAUCUUCAUCUUCGAGAAGUGAAGUAAAUCUUAUCAUUUAAAGGAAGGAGAAGUCGUAACA
rnacentral:rRNA from 1 species